CUACGGGAUGCAGCAGUGGGGAAUAUUGGACAAUGGGCGCAAGCCUGAUCCAGCAAUGCCGCGUGAGUGAAGACGGCCUUAGGGUUGUAAAACUCUUUCGCUAGGGAAGAUAAUGACUGUACCUAGUAAAGAAGUCCCGGCUAACUCCGUGCCAGCAGCCGCGGUAAUACGGAGGGGACUAGCGUUGUUCGGAAUUACUGGGCGUAAGGAGUUCGUAGGCGGACUGACAAGUUAGAGGUGAAAUCCCAGGGCUCAACCCUGGAACUGCCUUUAAAACUGUCAGUCUAGAGACCGGAAGAGGUUAGGGGAAUACCUAGUGUAGAGGUGAAAUUCGUAGAUAUUAGGUGGAACACCAGUGGCGAAGGCGCCUAACUGGUCCGGUACUGACGCUGAGGAACGAAAGCGUGGGGAGCAAACAGGAUUAGAUACCCUUGUAGUC
rnacentral:rRNA from 1 species